rnacentral:rRNA from 1 species
CCUACGGGAGGCAGCAGUGGGGGAUAUUGCACAAUGGGGGGAACCCUGAUGCAGCGACGCCGCGUGGGUGAAGAAGCGCCUCGGCGCGUAAAGCCCUGUCAGCAGGGAAGAAAAUGACGGUACCUGAAGAAGAAGCCCCGGCUAACUACGUGCCAGCAGCCGCGGUAAUACGUAGGGGGCAAGCGUUAUCCGGAUUGACUGGGUGUAAAGGGGGCGGAGACGGCGGUGCAAGCCAGGGGUGAAAGCCCUGGGCCAAACCCGGGGACGGCUCUUGGAACUGCGUGGCUGGAGUGCAGGAGGGGCGGGCGGAAUUCCUGGUGUAGCGGUGAAAUGCGUAGAGAUCAGGAGGAACACCGGUGGCGAAGGCGGCCUGCUGGAC